CUUAUGGAGGUGCGGUGAGGAGGUCCGAUUUAACACCUGUUUGUUAUUGCGGUGAGAAGGCAAUCACAAGAACUGCUAGAACGGCUAAGAACAGGGGGAGAAAAUUUUGGGGUUGCCCAAAGUUCAAGGGUGGAAGUGAAGAAGUUGUUGGAUGCAAUUUUUUUUCAUGGUGCAGUGAAAAUGUAGUAGAAGAAAGAUGUGGUCCUACGAAGAAUGACGAUGAUGACACUGCAACGAAGAUGGUAGAAAGGGAUGACCAAAGCAAAUUAAUAAAGACAAAGAUGGUAGAAAGGGAAGGGGAAAACAAA